GAUGAAGUGCAUGUGAUAGGGAAACUAUUUCAUGCUUGUUGGAAUUAUUGCCUAAAUAUGGUUGUAUGUUAAUUAACCGGUAAGUUUACUUUCCAGUUAUUCAGACUUACUAAGCAUAUAAAUGCUUACCCCCUUCUCUUUUCCUUGUCUUACAGAGCUUGUGGACUCAUGAAGAUUGGAAGACGGUUGGACAAUCAACACACUAUCAACU
rnacentral:lncRNA from 1 species